GUAUUGUAUUGCGUUAAACGCGUCAUGCAUUCCAUGAGACUUUGUUACAGAGUGUGUGUAAAGACGUAGAACCACAACAGGGGGGCAGAGCCCCCCAUGCCACAGAGCUACAGAGCGUGCACAGGUGUGAGUGGAUGUGUAAACAGAGCGUGCACAUGCCCCCAUUUGAGGACCAGCAACAACUCGUGUUGACAAUUCGGUAAUGAUCCUUCCGCAGGUUCACCUACGGAAA
rnacentral:misc_RNA from 1 species